rnacentral:sRNA from 1 species
UUGCCGUAGUGGUCUGCGAGGCCACGCAGGGCCUC